GUUAAACCAGUAAGUUGAGUUAUAUAUUUUGGUAAAAAGACAGUUAGACAUGAAAUUAGUUUAUUGAUUUCCUUUAUAAAAGUAAAAUUUAAUAUGGGUAUAAUAAUAUAAUAAUAGCUUUAUUGUUGAAUCUGUGAUAUCUUUAAGGGAAACUGGGAUUGGAUACCCCAUUAUUUUUAGAUGUAAAUAAAGAAAUUUACCAGAGUACUACAAAUAAAAUAAUUUAAAACUCAAAGAGCUUGGCGGUAUUUUAGACCACUUAGGGGAACCUGUCUCGUAAUCGACAAUCCACGUUAAACCUUACCUUUUUUAGUGAUCAACUUGUAUACCGUUGUCAUCAGGUAACUUUUAAAGAAAAAAGAAGUUAGCUAAGAAAUUUUUGAAUUAAGAUGUCAAAUCAAGGUGCAGUUUAUAAAAAGGAGAAGAUGGGUUACAAUUAUAAAUCAUAAUACGAAUAUGUAUAUUGCAAAUAGCUUGAAGGAGGACUUAAAAGUAAACUUUUAUAUAGAAGUAAUUUGAACAAGGCUCUAAAAUGUGCACACAU
rnacentral:rRNA from 1 species